UCUGGUUGAUCCUGCCUACCCGACUGCUAUCAGAGUGAGAUUAACCCAUGCGAGUCAACAUAUCAAUACUUGCCUGACGGCUCGGUAACACGUAAUCAACAUAACCAAAGGACGUGGAUAAACUCGGGAAACUGACGCUAAACCGCGAUAGUUCAAGAUACCUGGAAUGGUUUUUGAUCAAAAUCUAUAUGGCCUUUGGAUUGGACUGCGUCCGAUCAGGCUGUUGGUGAGGUAAUGGCCCACCAAACCUAUACCCGGUACGGACUCUUAGAGGAUGACCCCUGAUAUGGGUACUGAGAUAACGACCCACGCCCUAUGGGGCGCAGCAAGCGCGAAACCUCUGCAAUAAGCCAAAGCUUGACGGGUUUACUCUGAUUGACUUUCCUUAAAAAAGUCUUUUGACACCUCUAAAAAUGGUGUACAAUAAAGGGUGGGCAAGUCUGGUGUCAGCCGCCGCGGUAAUACCAGCACCCCUAGUGGUCGGAACUAUUAUUGAGCCUAAAGCAUCCGUAUUCGGCCUUACAAGUCCUCCGUUAAAUCCAGCUGCUUAACAGGAUGGGCUGCGGAGGAUACUAUAAGACUAGGAGGCAGGAGAGGCAAGCGGUACUCAGUGGGUAGGGGUAAAAUCCGUUGAUCCAUUGAAGACCACCAGAGGCGAAGGCGGCUUGCCAGAAUGCGCUCGACGGUGAGGGAUGAAAGCUGCCAGAGCAAAUGACAUUAGAUGCCCGGGUAGUCCCAUCUGUAAACUAUGCACACUCCCUGAUGGACUAGCUUAUGCUGGUCCAGUGCCGCACGCAAGCCGUUAAUCUGCCUCUGGGUAGUACGGUCGCA
rnacentral:rRNA from 1 species